UACGUAGGGUGCAAGCGUUGUCCGGAAUUAUUGGGCGUAAAGAGCUCGUAGGCGGUUUGUCGCGUCUGCUGUGAAAACCUGCAGCUCAACUGCAGGCUUGCGGUCGAUACGGGCAGGCUAGAGUUCGGUAGGGGAGACUGGAAUUCCUGGUGUAGCGGUGAAAUGCGCAGAUAUCAGGAGGAACACCGGUGGCGAAGGCGGGUCUCUGGUACAUGAUUGACGCUGAGACGCGAAAGCGUGGGGAGCGAACAGG
rnacentral:rRNA from 1 species